UUGGGAUAACCCCGGGAAACCGGGGCUAAUACCGAAUAUGACCUCCGAUCGCAUGGUCGGUGGUGGAAAGUUUUUCGGCUUGGGAUGGGCUCGCGGCCUAUCAGCUUGUUGGUGGGGUGAUGGCCUACCAAGGCGACGACGGGUAGCCGGCCUGAGAGGGCGACCGGCCACACUGGGACUGAGACACGGCCCAGACUCCUACGGGAGGCAGCAGUGGGGAAUAUUGCACAAUGGGCGGAAGCCUGAUGCAGCGACGCCGCGUGAGGGAUGACGGCCUUCGGGUUGUAAACCUCUUUCAGCAGGGACGAAGCGUAAGUGACGGUACCUGCAGAAGAAGCGCCGGCCAACUACGUGCCAGCAGCCGCGGUAAGACGUAGGGCGCGAGCGUUGUCCGGAUUUAUUGGGCGUAAAGAGCUCGUAGGCGGCUUGUCGCGUCGACCGUGAAAACCUGGGGCUCAACCCCAGGUCUGCGGUCGAUACGGGCAGGCUAGAGUUCGGUAGGGGAGACUGGAAUUCCUGGUGUAGCGGUGAAAUGCGCAGAUAUCAGGAGGAACACCGGUGGCGAAGGCGGGUCUCUGGGCCGAUACUGACGCUGAGGAGCGAAAGCGUGGGGAGCGAACA
rnacentral:rRNA from 1 species